UCUCUUCCUCAUGCCAGAGCGCACAGCCGGUUACAACAAGCUGCAAGCACCCACGUUUUCUUCAUGGCCGAGCGAGUGGUGCAGAGCUUUUAGGACAUGCAUAUUGAUUGGGAGAAACGGUCUAACACCGACAUGCCUCGUAAGGAGAGGAGGCGGAAGCAGCAACAGAAAGAGCUACAUGAGGCAGCUAAAGGCAGUGGGUCCCUCACCAGCUGGAUAAAAAAAGAGUACAGUUUGAGAUCAACACAGCCUUGCCCUCCAGCAUCAGCAGCAAGAGGAGCAACCCUGCAACAGCUAUUGUACCCCAUCAUCAGGUAAAAUAGGACAGCAAUAGAUCAGGAGGUGGAGCAUGUUGUCCAGUAAUAAGAAGGUUGCAGGUUUGAUCCUGACUUCAAUCAGAGAUUGAUGCUGUUGUGUCCUUGGGCAAGACACUUAACCUGCUUUGCCUGCUGGUGGUGGUCGGAGGGACUGGUGGUGCCUGUGCUCAGCAGCUUCACCUGUCAGUGCGCUCCAGAGCAGCUAUGGCUACAUCAUAGCUCAUCACUAUCAGUGUGUUAAUGUGUGUGUGUGUGUGAAUUUUGUUGUAAUGUGCCUUGGGGGGUUGUAGAACCCUAAGAAGGCAUUAUACAAAUACAGACCAUUUACCAAAACAAGUUACUUUUGCUUUACAUUGUCCUUAUGUGGUAAGGGUGUAUAUAAUGAUUUGCUUCCUGUUUGAAUUUCUAAUAAAUAUGAUUUGUUAUUCAGCCGGGUAUACUGUGGUUAUGUCAUGAUGUUUGAAAAUAUUAUUCUGUGUGCCCCUUUUUAAAUUUGAGCACCCGCCCCUUCAAAGGUCUCUGCACAGCCCUGCAAACCACCCUUUUCCGGUUUAAUAUAAACUAUAACUGUUUAUUUUAAAGAGUAAAGAUUUUAUCAUGUAGUCAGUCACUGCAAGGCAUCCAUGAAAUAUACAAUCGCAGAGGGAAAGUAUUCACAUGUAUUACUUAAGCCUGAUUCAUGCUUCUCCGUCAGCUCCGCAAGGGACAGACGCACGGAUUGACGGAAGCGUUUUGCUCUCAUACUUCUCCGUCUCCUGGGGAGUGUUGCAAAACAAUUCCCCCACCAAGACAACAGAGGGCGUAGCGCUGUUCUGUGGUAUCCUGUCAUGUAUCCGGUCCAAGAUAGUGGCCGUGUUCGAGAUGAGCCAGUUCUGCGCAGAUUAGACCAGCGGUGAUCGGCAAGCAGUGCAUGCCGGUUAGAUUUGUGUCCGACUUGAUGCCGACUUGCUCUGACGUCAUGCAUACGUAGGCAACGAUAACCUCAUGAGAUCAAGGCAGCCGCAGAUUUUGGAGCAAGGCGCUGCAGUUGCUCUCCCUCGGCUGCAAAACCUAGGGGAUGAUGGGAAACGCCUGGCUCUCACCUGAUCUAAGAUCUGAUUGGUUCAUAUUUGGAUCCAAACAUCCGGUGGUAGAACAUGAAAUGUUAGUUGGUCACAUGUAUUCUGUAAAUCAUGUAACGUUGAUGAUGACAACUAUCUAGGCCAUAAAGAGAAACGUGUUUUGUAUUCUUUUGUCACGUUUCCUAUGAGCACACUAAACCUACAGUGGAUAACCUUUACUUAUUAUUACAGUCAUGUCUCCAUUUACAAUAUACGAUAUCCACAAGCACGUGAGGAUGUGUUUCAGCUGCUAACAGGCACCAGAAUUAAAAUUGAAAAUUAAACAAGUGUGAACGCUCACGCGAUAUCUUCAUCCAUCGUCACCCCCAAGCUACACAUGUAGGGAAAUCUGUCCGACUUACGUCGGCUUUCAGCCACUUCCCCUGCUGCUUCCGCCUGCUCUCGUCUGUUUUCCAGGCGAGGCGCAGCUCAACUCGAACACGGCCACUGUGUUUAUGUUUUUUUGUAUACAAGACUU